CAGGCCUCAAAGACUUGUGGCAAGGGUUCUUUAACGCGCAGAGUGGCACUGUCCCUACACAUAGGAACUAUAUACUUUUUAAAUUGCCAUUCCAAUUUUUGUUUGUUUUAAAAAUGAUAACUUUAGAAGACUUUAAGGCAGGGGUCAUAAAAAAUAUUACAAUAAUCCCACCUUUUACACCACCCUCAAUGUUUAUUAUCUAGAACUCUGUUUACAAACGAUUUUGUUUUCAUAUAUUAUUUUUUGGUAUUUUCAUUUUUUAUAUUUUUUUUGAUAUUUUUUUUUACAGAGCUCUAGAUAAUAAAAAUAUCAGAUGUUAAAGGUUAGAGGUAUUCACCAAUUCAUUCUAAUUCAGAAUAUUGCAAAAUUUUAAUUUGUUGAUUUUCUCAUUGUUGAAGUCCAUACAGUAACAUGCAACUUCAUUUGGUCUCUGUAGGAUAGUUGUCUCACAUCUCUUCAUUUCAUAACAAAUCAAUUUGUAGGUUCUUAUUAUUAUUAUAAAGUGAACCUAUGAUGAAGGUAAGGGAAAUUUUGACUGCCAACUGAGAGGAGGAUAUGUUGGACAGAAAUUAAGCCUUGCAACAGGCCACCUACUGACCAGGCCUCAAAGACUUGUGGCAAGGGUUCUUUAACGUGCAGAGUGGCACUGUCCCUACACAUAGGAACUAUAUACUUUUUAAAUUGCCAUUCCAAUUUUUGUUUGUUUUAAAAAUGAUAACUUUAGAAGACUUUAAGGCGGGGGUCAUAAAAAAUAUUACAAUAAUCCCACCUUUUACACCACCCUCAAUGUUUAUUAUCUAGAACUCUGUUUACAAACAAUUUUGUUUUCAUAUUAUUUUUUGGUAUUUUCAUUUUUGAUAUUUUUUUUGUAUAUAUUUUUUGGUAUUUUCAUUUUUUAUAUUUUUUUUUUAUAUUUUUUUACAGAGCUCUAGAUAAUAACAAUAUCGGGUGAUAAAGGUUAGAGGUAUUAACUAAGUCAUUCUAAUUCAGAAUAUUGCAAAAUUUUAAUGUUGGAUGAUUUUCUCAUUGUUGAAGUCCAUACAGUAACCUAUUUUACAUCAACAUCAUUUGGUCUCUGUAGGAUAGUAAUGUGUCGCAUCUCUUCAUUUCAUAACAAAUUAAUUUGUAGGUUCUAUAAAGUGAGCCGAUGAUGAAGGUAAGGGAAAUUUUGACUGCCAACUGAGAGGAGGAUAUGUUGGACAGAAAUUAAGCCUAGCAACAGGCCACCUACUGACCCCUCAAAGACUUGUGGCAAGGGUUUUUUAAUGUGCAGAGUGGCACUGUCCCUACACAUAGAAACUAUACUUUUUAAAUUGCCAUUCCAAUUUUUGUUUGUUUUAAACAUAACUUUAGAAGAUUUUAAUUGAUUGUUGUUGAUUGUUGGUUGCUCAACGUCCAGUGGCAAAUAUUUCAUACAUAUUCAGGACGAGAACAAGUUAACAAUAAAUACAAUAGGUAGGUUCUGUAAUAGGGGCUUCCUGGAUUAAGGUCGGAGAAAUUUAGACUGCAACGGACGCCCCACUUUAGCAAGGGUUUUACUGCCGGUCGGAGGAAGACCAAUGGUGACCAUACUUCUAUUCCCCAGUCACCCUUGGGGGUUAAAAGACUUUAAGGUGGGGGUCAUAAAAAAUGUUACAAUAAUCCCACCUUUUACACCACCCUCAAUGUUUAUUAUCUAGAACUCUGUUUACAAACGAUUUUGUUUUCAUAUAUUAUUUUUUGGUAUUUUCAUUUUUGAUAUUUUUUUUGAUAUUUUUUUUUACAGAGCUCUAGAUAAUAAAAAUAUCAGAUGUUAAAGGUUAGAGGUAUUAACAAAGUCAUUCUAAUUCAGAAUAUUGCAAAAUUUUAAUGUUAGUUGAUUUUCUCAUUGUUGAAGUCCAUACAGUAACAUGCAACUUCAUUUGAUCUCUGUAGGAUAGUUGUCUCACAUCUCUUCAUUUCAUAACAAAUCAAUUUGUAGGUUCUAUAAAGUGGGCCGAUGAUGAAGGUAAGGGAAAUUUUGACUGCCAACUGAGAGGAGGAUAUGUUGGACAGAAAUUAAGCCUUGCAACAGGCCACCUACUGACCCCUCAAAGACUUGUGGCAAGGGUUCUUUAACGUGCAGAGUGGCACUGUCCCUACACAUAGGAACUAUACUUUUUAAAUUGCCAUUCCAAUUUUUGUUGGUUUUAAAAAUGAUAACUUUAGAAGACUUUAAGGCGGGGGUCAUAAAAAAUAUUACAAUAAUCCCACCUUUUACACCACCCUCAAUGUUUAUUAUCUAGAACUCUGUUUACAAACAAUUUUGUUUUCAUAUUAUUUUUUGGUAUUUUCAUUUUUUAUAUUUUUUUUGUAUAUAUUUUUUGGUAUUUUCAUUUUUUAUAUUUUUUUUUUUAUAUUUUUUUACAGAGCUCUAGAUAAUAACAAUAUCGGAUGAUAAAGGUUAGAGGUAUUAACAAAGUCAUUCUAAUUCAGAAUAUUGCAAAAUUUUAAUGUUGGAUGAUUUACUCAUUGUUGAAGUCCAUACAGUAACCUAUUUUACAUCAACAUCAUUUGGUCUCUGUAGGAUAGUAAUGUCUCGCAUCUCUUCAUUUCAUAACAAAUCAAUUUGUAGGUUCUAUAAAGUGGGCCGAUGAUGAAGGUAAGGGAAAUUUUGACUGCCAACUGAGAGGAGGAUAUGUUGGACAGAAAUUAAGCCUUGCAACAGGCCACCUACUGACCCCUCAAAGACUUGUGGCAAGGGUUUUUUAAUGUGCAGAGUGGCACUGUCCCUACACAUAGAAACUAUACUUUUUAAAUUGCCAUUCCAAUUUUUGUUUGUUUUAAACAUGAUAACUAAUAGGUAGGUUCUGUAAUAGGGGCUUCCUGGAUUAAGGUCGGAGAAAUUUAGACUGCAACGGACGCCCCACUUUAGCAAGGGUUUUACUGCCGGUCGGAGGAAGACCAAUGGUGACCAUACUUCUAUUCCCCAGUCACCCUUGGGGGUUAGAAGACUUUAAGGCGGGGGUCAUAAAAAAUGUUACAAUAAUCCCACCUUUUACACCACCCUCAAUGUUUAUUAUCUAGAACUCUGUUUACAAACGAUUUUGUUUUCAUAUAUUAUUUUUUGGUAUUUUCAUUUUUUAUAUUUUUUUUGAUAUUUUUUUUUACAGAGCUCUAGAUAAUAAAAAUAUCAGAUGUUAAAGGUUAGAGGUAUAAACAAAGUCAUUCUAAUUCAGAAUAUUGCAAAAUUUUAAUGUUAGUGGAUUUUCUCAUUGUUGAAGUUCAUACAGUAAAGUGCAACUUCAUUUGGUCUCUGUAGGAUAGUUGUCUCGCAUCUCUUCAUUUCAUAACAAAUCAAUUUGUAGGUUCUAUAAAGUGGGCCGAUGAUGAAGGUAAGGGAAAUUUUGACUGCCAACUGAGAGGAGGAUAUGUUGGACAGAAAUUAAGCCUUGCAACAGGUCACCUACUGACCCCUCAAAGACUUGUGGCAAGGGUUCUUUAACGUGCAGAGUGGCACUGUCCCUACACAUAGGAACUAUAUACUUUUUAAAUUGCCAUUCCAAUUUUUGUUGGUUUUAAAAAUGAUAACUUUAGAAGACUUUAAGGCGGGGGUCAUAAAAAAUAUUACAAUAAUCCCACCUUUUACACCACCCUCAAUGUUUAUUAUCUAGAACUCUGUUUACAAACAAUUUUGUUUUCAUAUUAUUUUUUGGUAUUUUCAUUUUUUAUAUUUUUUUUGUAUAUAUUUUUUGGUAUUUUCAUUUUUUAUAUUUUUUUUUUUAUAUUUUUUUACAGAGCUCUAGAUAAUAACAAUAUCGGAUGAUAAAGGUUAGAGGUAUUAACAAAGUCAUUCUAAUUCAGAAUAUUGCAAAAUUUUAAUGUUGGAUGAUUUACUCAUUGUUGAAGUCCAUACAGUAACCUAUUUUACAUCAACAUCAUUUGGUCUCUGUAGGAUAGUAAUGUCUCGCAUCUCUUCAUUUCAUAACAAAUCAAUUUGUAGGUUCUAUAAAGUGGGCCGAUGAUGAAGGUAAGGGAAAUUUUGACUGCCAACUGAGAGGAGGAUAUGUUGGACAGAAAUUAAGCCUUGCAACAGGUCACCUACUGACCCCUCAAAGACUUGUGGCAAGGGUUCUUUAACGUGCAGAGUGGCACUGUCCCUACACAUAGGAACUAUAUACUUUUUAAAUUGCCAUUCCAAUUUUUGUUGGUUUUAAAAAUGAUAACUUUAGAAGACUUUAAGGCGGGGGUCAUAAAAAAUAUUACAAUAAUCCCACCUUUUACACCACCCUCAAUGUUUAUUAUCUAGAACUCUGUUUACAAACAAUUUUGUUUUCAUAUUAUUUUUUGGUAUUUUCAUUUUUUAUAUUUUUUUUGUAUAUAUUUUUUGGUAUUUUCAUUUUUUAUAAUUUUUUUUUAUAUUUUUUUACAGAGCUCUAGAUAAUAACAAUAUCGGAUGAUAAAGGUUAGAGGUAUUAACAAAGUCAUUCUAAUUCAGAAUAUUGCAAAAUUUUAAUGUUGGAUGAUUUACUCAUUGUUGAAGUCCAUACAGUAACCUAUUUUACAUCAACAUCAUUUGGUCUCUGUAGGAUAGUAAUGUCUCGCAUCUCUUCAUUUCAUAACAAAUCAAUUUGUAGGUUCUAUAAAGUGGGCCGAUGAUGAAGGUAAGGGAAAUUUUGACUGCCAACUGAGAGGAGGAUAUGUUGGACAGAAAUUAAGCCUUGCAACAGGUCACCUACUGACCCCUCAAAGACUUGUGGCAAGGGUUCUUUAACGUGCAGAGUGGCACUGUCCCUACACAUAGGAACUAUAUACUUUUUAAAUUGCCAUUCCAAUUUUUGUUGGUUUUAAAAAUGAUAACUUUAGAAGACUUUAAGGCGGGGGUCAUAAAAAAUAUUACAAUAAUCCCACCUUUUACACCACCCUCAAUGUUUAUUAUCUAGAACUCUGUUUACAAACAAUUUUGUUUUCAUAUUAUUUUUUGGUAUUUUCAUUUUUUAUAUUUUUUUUGUAUAUAUUUUUUGGUAUUUUCACUUUUUAUAAUUUUUUUUUAUAUUUUUUUACAGAGCUCUAGAUAAUAACAAUAUCGGAUGAUAAAGGUUAGAGGUAUUAACAAAGUCAUUCUAAUUCAGAAUAUUGCAAAAUUUUAAUGUUGGAUGAUUUACUCAUUGUUGAAGUCCAUACAGUAACCUAUUUUACAUCAACAUCAUUUGGUCUCUGUAGGAUAGUAAUGUCUCGCAUCUCUUCAUUUCAUAACAAAUCAAUUUGUAGGUUCUAUAAAGUGGGCCGAUGAUGAAGGUAAGGGAAAUUUUGACUGCCAACUGAGAGGAGGAUAUGUUGGACAGAAAUUAAGCCUUGCAACAGGCCACCUACUGACCCCUCAAAGACUUGUGGCAAGGGUUUUUUAAUGUGCAGAGUGGCACUGUCCCUACACAUAGAAACUAUACUUUUUAAAUUGCCAUUCCAAUUUUUGUUUGUUUUAAACAUGAUAACUUUAGAAGAUUUUAAUUGAUUGUUGUUGAUUGUUGGUUGCUUAACAUCCAGUGGCAAAUAUUUCAUACAUAUUCAGGACGAGAACAAGUUAACAAUAAAUACAAUAGGUAGGUUCUGUAAUAGGGGCUUCCUGGAUUAAGGUCGGAGAAAUUUAGACUGCAACGGACGCCCCACUUUAGCAAGGGAUUUACUGCCGGUCGGAGGAAGACCAAUGGUGACCAUACUUCUAUUCCCCAGUCACCCUUGGGGGUUAGAAGACUUUAAGGCGGGGGUCAUAAAAAAUGUUACAAUAAUCCCACCUUUUACACCACCCUCAAUGUUUAUUAUCUAGAACUCUGUUUACAAACGAUUUUGUUUUCAUAUAUUAUUUUUUGGUAUUUUCAUUUUUUAUAUUUUUUUUUAUAUUUUUUUUUACAGAGCUCUAGAUAAUAAAAAUAUCAGAUGUUAAAGGUUAGAGGUAUUAACAAAGUCAUUCUAAUUCAGAAUAUUGCAAAAUUUUAAUGUUAGUUGAUUUUCUCAUUGUUGAAGUCCAUACAGUAACAUGCAACUUCAUUUGGUCUCUGUAGGAUAGUUGUCUCGCAUCUCUUCAUUUCAUAACAAAUCAAUUUGUAGGUUCUAUAAAGUGGGCCGAUGAUGAAGAUAGGGGAAAUUUUGACUGCCAACUGAGAGGAGGAUAUGUUGGGCAGAAAUUAAGCCUUGCAACAGGCCACCUACUGACCCCUCAAAGACUUGUGGCAAGGGUUCUUUAACAUGCAGAGUGGCACUGUCCCUACACAUAGACACUAUACCGUAGUGCAUAGUUCUGAAUCUCGGUCAAGGUUUUACUAUAUUUUUGGUUUAAAGUUCUUAAAUGAUUGUAUUGGGUUCUUGACUUUCCAAUACUUUAGCCUCAAAUAUCACUGUCUGGAGAGAUUUUGUUGAAAUAAUUUCAAAAUGAAUUUCUCAAACGUUUUCUGAUCAUUUUUGGUUAAAAAAUAUUCAUAUUUCCUUAAAUAACAGUUUUGUUGACUGAGUGCUCACAUCAAUAGAUAUAAACAAUUCACCAAAGUUUCAUGCAAAUUGGUGAAAGUGUUUUUGAAUUAAUGUCGACGAUGGACGGACAGACAGACAGACGGACGGACAGACAGUCAAUGGUAUACCAUAAUAUGUCCCGUAAACGGGCAUAUAAAAAGUCAAAAAGAAACAAUGAACAAUGCCUUGAUUCCCCAAAAAAGUAAAACAUUUGUAUAAAUU